rnacentral:lncRNA from 1 species
UUUUUUUUUUUUUUUUUGAUAUCUGGGAUCAAACUCAGGACCUUGAGCUUUCAUGGCAGGCGGUGGCACCACUGAGCUAAAUCCCUGGCCCCUAUCUGGGUUUCUUCAGCUCACUGUUUUUAUAGAGCAAAAAUCCCUUUGUACAUCAAUGUACUACUUCCUUAUAGUUUUAGUCAUGUGUUCUAAUGGCUUUCAGUUUAAUAAUCAGGGGGCUUGUACUCAAACUGAUCAUGACAGAGAUUGAAUUGAAUCAGUCUGUACUUAUGGUCCUUUAGAUUAUUUAUUGUGCCUAGGACAGGGUCUUGCUGAAAAUGAAUGUCUGGGAGCUACCAUCAUUGAUAUUCAAUAAGUGAUCAGUGAAGAAGGCAAUUAGAAUAUCUGAAUAUUUUGUCUGAGAACAGUCAAUGUUUACAAGGUAACUAGGUUUUCUAGCAUACACUUAUCAUCAGAGGUUAAAGAAAAAGAGAAAAAAUAGAAUUCUGGAGAUAGUGAAAUUAUUAUAGUUAGUUUGACUUACUCUAGAGAUCUACAUUUUACUAACACAUCAUGUUAUUGCACAGGUAUGUUGAGCUAGAAAAGUUUUGCCUUCUAAUUCUCUUGAAAGUGGAGUGAAUUUGUAAUUAUUAAAUGAAAAUAUAUACAUAACAUUUUUCUCUUUUGUAGGCACUUGGGAUCACAGCUUUGUGAAUUAGAAAAACUGAUAAGUAAAAUGAUGAUUGCAGAAUUUUCUACUUAUUCUCACAGUGACUUAAAUAGACCACUGGAAGAUGACAGUCAAGUUUUAGAAGAGGAAAGAUUAGUGUCUCUUGUAUUUGGACUUUUAAAACAAAGAAAACUUAAUUUUUUAGAAAUCUAUGGUGAAGAAGUGAUUAUUACAGCAAAGAAUAUCAUUAAACAGGUAAUUAUGCAAUUUUAUUUCAUAUAUAGUCUACAAUCUUUUGAGUUUAUUUUUACAUUAUCUAGUAAUAUAUGCAGGGUAUAGUAUAAUACUAACACUUCCUCAUUUGUUUAAAAAUGGGAAAUAUGGAAAAAUAGAAUAAAAACAUAGCUCUACCAGCCAAGAUUAUCACUUUAAGAAUAUUUCUACAUGUAGACCAUUACUGAUUUUUAUUGUUGCUGUCAAAAUGUAUAUGACUUUGAACAUAUAUUUCAAUUAUAAUCAACAUAAACAUUUUCUCAUGUUAUUACACAAAACUUCAGAUACAUCAGUAUUAAUGGUUGUUAAAAUUUCGUCAGUGUUAUGUUGGUUAAGCUUUGUAGCCUUUCGUAUACUUUGAACAUUUAGGUUGUUUUCAGUUUGAUGUUAUAAAUAAUUCUGUGACAGAUGUCUUUGGUGUAAAGUUACUUUGUCUUUCUUAAGAUUGUUUCUUGGACUGAUUUCCAAAAGUUGAAUUAUUGGUCAGAGAAUAAGAAGUAUUUUUAAGUUGUUUCAUACAUAGAACUGAAUUGCUACCUGAAAAUGUUUUACCAAUUUAUACUCCUACCACCAGUAGGUAAAUGCUAAUUUCCCUUUUACCCUGAUAUGUAGGAAAUCAUAAUAAACUAAAAUCUGCUUGUUUGGUUUUCCCUGAUCUUUGUUUUUUUAUUCUCAUAAGUCCCAUCUAAUGAAGUUUAAUUUUUGUAUAUGUGAAAAAGAUAAUGUAAUUUUAAAUGUGUUUGUUAGGGUUAAUCAUCAU